GGGACAUUUCAGUGGGAACUUGUUUAAUCUUGUCUUAGUGAGAAGAAAUAAAACCUGCUGCAUUGAAGCGUUUUGCAUUAACCUCAGUAAUCAGAUUACUGACGUCAAUGGCUGAAACCUCUGGAUCUUAGUUUGGAUGUUUCUGCAGCUUUAAUAAGAAAAUCGUCGGAUUGUUUGAUUUUGAAACAAUUUCUGUUUUUUUCUGCUGACUAAGCAUUUACCGUGAUCUCGGUUGCUGUUUUAAUCUUGAAGCUGUAGUCCGUGCUGUGGGGACGUUUCUGCUCUGAACUGAUCAGAUUAUUCUGUUUUCCGGCCGGUUUGGAUCGGUGCCAUGUCUGCCUGCGGGUCAGGAUGACCAGAACCUUUCAGAACCUUCGGCUCCGGCCGGUUGGUGCCUUCCUGUGUGAGUCCAUGCUGAACAUCAGUGGAGUAAUUAUCUUAUUAUCCUCAUUCGAGUCAUUACGUGUGAAACAAAUGCUGCAGCUCAGAUUGAAGGUAAUUAGGAGCAAUUCCUGACACAAGAGACAGAAUGAUUCCUCUCAGCUGUACGCUACUGUGCAAAAGUUCUAGACCAGUCCUUAUUCUGGCGUCAAAACUCCAGUCAGUUCUCCAGCUCUCUGGAAGUCUUCCUUUAGAUGCUGCUGGAUUUGACUCUUUUCUCUGACCUUCACUGCUUGUUGUGCCGUCUCUUUAAAUGCAAAUGAGCCUCUUUGUCCGCCGCCAUUUGCGCUAACAUUGUCACUGAAUGCAUUCGGACCACUUGCUCCACUAAAACAUAGCUUGUUGUGGAAACGGGAACUUUUCUGCUGCUCAAAUAAAACCCAGAGGAGCCGAAACUCGGAGCCUGAGCCGCCAUGUUCAGGUUAAAGCAGAACCAGGAGAGGAGCUGGACCAGCAGUCAGCAAACACAUUUUAAAUUUCAGGUGCUGAGGGAGGUCAGCCGGAGGUCAGCCGAAGGUCAGCCAGAGGUCAGCCAAAGGUCAGCCGGAGGUCAGCCAAAGGUCAGCCGGAGGUCAACCAAAGGUCAGCCGGAGGUCAGCCAAAGGUCAGCCGGAGGUCAGCCAAAGGUCAGCCGGAGGUCAGCCGAAGGUCAGCCAAAGGUCAGCCGGAGGUCAGCCGAAGGUCAGCCGGAGGUCAGCCAGAGGUCAGCCGGAGGUCAACCAAAGGUCAGCCAAAGGUCAGCCGGAGGUCUGAAAAGUCGCCAAAGCAACAAAGUGGAAAAGUUAGCAGCACCUGCUGCGUCCUGCUAACACCUGGCCACGCCCCCAGUGUCUCCUGGCUCCGCCCACUUAAUGCUCAGCAUUAGUUGAGGGCGGGGCUAAGCUUUCACAGCUUUCGGCUCUGAUGGCGCCCUGGACGAAGAGCCGACAGCUGCUCGACUUCAGCGGCAUCCUCAGGUUGCCAUGACAACAAAUUGCACAUCCAUGAAUCUUAAGCAGAAAAUGUCAUUAAAUAACUUCUAUAAACUGUAAUUACGUCAGAAAAUGUGAAGUUAAUUUCC